rnacentral:lncRNA from 1 species
CAUUUUAUAAUAAAUGAUGUUUGACACAUACUUGGUAAAUGUUGAUUGUUAAUCCGUAUGAGAAGAGUAGAGUCCGUCAUGACUAUAAAAUGAACAACGCAGGGUCCGUCAUGACCAUAAUCUGAACAAUGUAUUUGUUGAUGUUUUGGUAUUGUCCGAGACGACGUGAAACUAUAUGUUUGGUGUAUUUUGUGGAUGAUUGAUUAGGUGAUAAAUGAAGUAUAUGCAUGAUAUAUGAAUAUGCAUGAAUGAUGAUGAUGUAUAUGUAUAGUGUUUGAUUAUGCAUGUUUUUAUGAAGAAGUGUUUAAGUACCAUUUACUUACACUUGUAUAUUUUGAGUAUGUUAUCUAACUCUCUUUUAUGUGUUAUGUGCUGGACCGUUGGGGGUCCAGAUUUACAGGUUU